UUUUUCUUUCUAUUAAGCAUAGAGGCUUCAAAAGAACAGCCCAGAAAGUCAAAUAAUUGUAUCCACCACUGUUCACCCAUCCAUCUCCCCGCUGACCUGUCCUGUGAAAUACCCUUGAAAAUCUUGGCCGUCUCUCACCUGCCCAUUGCAAAUGCUGCUUUGUUAAAUGUUCGAGUCUGUAAUUCCACGAGAAAGACCUGAUAAAACAAACUGUAUUUCAAUGGCCACCUCAUCGGGGAGUAGCUCUUUGGGCUGGGGGGUACUUCUAAUUUUCGGAGCUUUGUAGUCUCUGUGUUGGGAGGGGGCUACUUGAAGACCUGAAAAGGAGAUGUGAAUCAAGUCUACAAAUGUUUGCUAGCCAAAGGGGCCAAGGUGGCUGCGGGGAAGUCUUAGGAAACAGGUUUUUGAUCUUCAUGGAGAUCUCUUGAUUGCUUUAGUUUGGGAAAAUACAUCAUUCGCUUCUUUAGAUACAAAGUUUGAGACUUGAAGCUGGUCUAAUUGCUAGCUUCCUUUCAGUCCUGAACUUCCUCAGAAACACUCUUGUCACUUUGAAGAGCACAAAAUGGCUCCUUGACACCGAGAGACACAGAGAAAGAUUAGGCCACUUAGAGAUUCUUAAGUUCAGAAUUGAAUGUUUUCUAGCAGUGGUCAAGUCCGGAAUUGUUUCAGUUUUAAAAAGCAGAAUAGCAGCCUCUCAGCUGGGCAAGCACCUAAAGUUUAGUGCAGGAUGACCAUGAAAGAUAAUCCUAAGUUGCUGGUGCAGAAAGAGGGUCUGGUGUUGCUUGGCUUGGGAUGCUGUCCCUAGACAGUCUCUUCAAACCCAUGGCCUUGGGUUAGGGAGAUGGCUCAGCAGGUAAAGUGUUUGCUGGGCAAACAUGAAGACCAGAGUUCAAUCCCCCAGCACCCGCAUAAAAACAGGUAGCAGCACACACUUGUAACCCUAGCUCUGGAGGACAGAUUCAUGAGUUCCAGGGGCUCACUGGCCUGCAAGCCAAUUUAGUGUAACAGUGAGAUCUAGGCUCAGUGAACAACCCUGUUUCAAAAAGUAAGAUGGGGAAGAUAGAGGAAGACAUCCUGACAUCAGCCUUUAGCUCCACAAAGCACACACACACACACACACACACACACACACACACACACACACACACACAGAGAUCAUGGGCAUCUUGCCUGUGCAGAUGUCCAAUAGAAGUUCAUUGAAUGAACCUGUGACUCAAGUAUUUUAUGUUAUAAACAUGUUUAAGUUUAGACAAUGCUAACACAAUGGUAGGUGAACUAGGCUGAAAAGGUGUAGGGAUCUCUACUAAGUAACAGGAACCUUUAGUCGCUGGAUAGGGCGUUUGAAAAGCUUUAUACAAGAGACUGUGGUAUAACUAUCUUAAUCAGUGGUUCUCAGCCUGUGGGUCACAGCCCCUUUGAGGGUCAAAUGACCCUUUCACGGGGGUCACUCGUCAGAUAUCCUACAUAUCAGAUAUUUAUAUUAAGGUUAACAACAGUACCAAAAUUAUAGUUAUAAAGUAAAAAUGAAAAUUAUUUUCUGGUUGAGGGGGUCAUCACGACAUGAGGAACGGUAUUAAAAGGUCAAGAAGCAGGCAGGUUGAGAUCCACUGCUCUUAACACUAACUAUACUCAGGGGAAUGUCAUUUAAGGAAAAGCUAUAAUAAAUUCUUUAGUAUUAUGAGGAUUAACUUUCUAAUUUAGUUAUUUCCAUGAAUGAUACUUUUUAUUAGUUUCAUUUUCUCAGAACCAACAGGUAAACUACACUUUUAAAAAACAUUUAUUAUUGUUAUUUUGUGUGUAUAUGUGUAUGUACAUGUAUUUCUGCCAUGGCAUGCCAGAGGACAACCCAAGGGAGUUGGUUCUCUCUUUCUCCAUCAUGUAGGGGUUGGGGUCCAGCUGAGGUUCAUAGGCUUGGCAGCAACACUGAGCCAUUUUGGGUAAAGAAGGACCCAGAACUCCUGGUCUGCUGUCAGCGUGGAUGAGCCCCUAAAGGAGAGGUGAAGCACGAGAGCUCGGCCAUAAGGGCUUUCUAUGAAGCCUGUUCUCUCUGAGAUUCCCCCAUCUCCACCCCUGCAUGUUCUAGUGGAGGAGACAUAAGAAAUUCUCAGUGCUAGCAAGUCAGUGGUGCUAUUGAUUCUUUUCUAAGUCUGUCCAGAGCAACGGUAGUAAUGGCAGCAAGCAACUGGUCCUAGUCCUGUUUGACAAUGAACUUCGCCUCUGACAGGAAUAGGCUGCCCUGCUAGAACAAGCUAGUAGGGAAAAAGACCGAAGCCAUAUAGAGAAGAACAAGUAAUUUUCAUUUGGUGAAGACCCUGCUUUAUAGAUACACUUCAUUGAGGCUCGAGAGACAGCUCGGUGGUUAAGAACACUGCUUCCUCUUCCAGAGGACACAGGUUCAGUUCCCAGCCCCCAGAUGGCAGCUCACAAUCACUUGUAACUCCAGGUGCAGGGGAUCUAAUGCCUUCUUCUGGCCUGAGGGCACCAGGCACACACACAGUGCACAUAGAUACAUGCGGACAGAUACACAUUCAUUCACAGAAAGUAAAUACAUCUUGGGGAAAAAAAACCACACUUCAUGGGCUAGAGAUGGGGUUCAGUUGUUAAGAGUGCUCACCUAGCAUGGAUAAAGCUGGCAGAUCUCUGUGUUCGAAGCCAACCUGGUCUUCAGAGCAAGUUCUAAGAUAGCCAGGGCUACACAGAAAGACCCUGUCUCGGAAAAACAAAAACUGAUGGAUGAGAACAGGGCCCACAGAAUCAACUAAGCCGAGCUCAUAUGGGGCUCACAGAGCCUGCAUGAGUCUGGGCUUGGCCUCUGCAUAUAUGUUAUGACUGUGUACCUGGGUGUUCUUAAGGUACCUCUAACAAGGGGAAUGAGGGGUGUCUCCAACUCUCUGGCCUGUGCUUGGGACCCUUUUCCUCCUCCAGUGUUCCUCGUCCAGCCUUGAUGUGAGCCUAGUCUUAUAGUAACUGGAUAUGCAUGCUCAGUUGGCAUCCCUGGGAGGCCUGCUCUCUUUUGAAGGGAAACAGAGGAGCAGUAUAUCUGGGGAGGACUGGGAGUUGUGUAAGAAGGAAAACUGCAAAUGGAAUGGAAUGAGUGAGAGAAGAAU
rnacentral:lncRNA from 1 species